rnacentral:siRNA from 1 species
GCGCGAAGCUACCGUGCGCUG